rnacentral:rRNA from 1 species
GAAUAUUGGUCAAUGGGCGCAAGCCUGAACCAGCCAUGCCGCGUGCAGGAAGACGGCCCUACGGGUUGUAAACUGCUUUUGUCAGGGAACAAACCCCCGCUCGUGAGCGGGGCUGAGUGUACCUGAAGAAUAAGGAUCGGCUAACUCCGUGCCAGCAGCCGCGGUAAUACGGAGGAUCCAAGCGUUAUCCGGAUUUAUUGGGUUUAAAGGGUGCGUAGGCGGCGUGCUAAGUCAGUGGUGAAAGACGGUGGCUCAACCAUCGCAGUGCCGUUGAUACUGGCGCGCUUGAAUGCGGAUGAGGUAGGCGGAAUGUGGCAAGUAGCGGUGAAAUGCAUAGAUAUGCCACAGAACACCGAUUGCGAAGGCAGCUUACCAAGGCGCGAUUGACGCUGAUGCACGAAAGCGUGGGGAUCGAACAG